rnacentral:rRNA from 1 species
AGCAAUGCUUGGGAAUAUGCCUCAUGGUGGGGGACAACAGUUGGAAACGACUGCUAAUACCGCAUAACGUCUACGGACCAAAGGGGGGGAUCUUCGGACCUCCCGCCAUUUGAUUAGCCCAAGUGAGAUUAGCUAGUUGGUGAGGUAAUGGCUCACCAAGGCGACGAUCUCUAGCUGGUUUGAGAGGAUGAUCAGCCACACUGGGACUGAGACACGGCCCAG